rnacentral:rRNA from 1 species
CGGGGUGCAGCAGGCGCGAAACCUUUACACUGCGGGAAACCGCGAUAAGGGGACCCCGAGUGCCAGCACCUAGUGCUGGCUGUCCAGCUGUCUAAAUAACAGUUGUUAGCAAGGGCCGGGCAAGACCGGUGCCAGCCGCCGCGGUAACACCGGCGGCCCGAGUGGUAGCCGCUAUUAUUGGGUUUAAAGGGCCCGUAGCCGGCCUAUUAAGUCUCUUGGGAAAUCUGGCGGCUUAAUCGUCAGGCGGCCAAGAGAUACUGGUAGGCUUGGGACCGGGAGAGGUGGGAGGUACUCCAGGGGUAGGGGUGAAAUCUCGUAAUCCUUGGGGGACCACCGAUGGCGAAGGCAUCCCACCAGAACGAGUCCGACGGUGAGGGACGAAAGCUGGGGGCACGAACCGGAUUAGAUACCCGGGUAGUCCCAGCUGUAAACGAUGCUCGCUAGGUGUCAGGUGCGGUGCGACCGCAUCUGGUGCCGCAGUGAAAACUUGAAGCGAGUCACCUGGGAAGUACGGUCGCAAGGCUGAAACUUAAAGGAAUUGGCGGGGGAGCAC